UACGAAGGGGGCUAGCGUUGCUCGGAAUCACUGGGCGUAAAGCGCACGUAGGCGGACUCUUAAGUCAGGGGUGAAAUCCUGGAGCUCAACUCCAGAACUGCCUUUGAUACUGGGAGUCUCGAGUUCGGGAGAGGUGAGUGGAACUGCGAGUGUAGAGGUGAAAUUCGUAGAUAUUCGCAAGAACACCAGUGGCGAAGGCGGCUCACUGGCCCGAUACUGACGCUCAGGCACGAAAGCGUGGGGAGCAAACAGG
rnacentral:rRNA from 1 species